GGUUGACAUGCUUCGAAGUACGGUAAUGGAAUAUUUAGAUUUUUUUUGUCACGAAUUGCGCUAUGCGCGCGACCCUGAUUUACCAUUUCAGAUAGUGUCUGGGACGCACAAACAAAACGCCGCUAUUCGGAUAUAACGAUGGAUUAUUUUGGACCAAACCAACAUUUGUUAUUGAAGUAGCAGUCCUGGGAGUGCAUUCUGACGAAGACAACAAAAGGCAAUGUGAUCUUGGGAAAAGACAAAGGAGGGCUGCCAAAGCAUUAAAGAGGGAGCUGCAGAAACAACAAGAUCAGUUGAGGAAAGUCGAACAGCGAGCAGAAAAAGGACUGCCCCUCUCCAAGAUCCAAAGACAACAAGUUGGUUCGGCAAAUCUCAGGCACAUCCCUAAGGAGAACCCUGUUGUUUCAUACAGCAGUAGCUGAGGAAGUACGUAACAAGUACGCACAUUCAAAGAGAGAGAGUGUCAGACAAGUCAUUGCAGGAAUAGUCAGUCACCAGCAAAAUCCUGAAGAAGUACAGGUUGCAGAGAUUGGCAAAGGAGGUUUGGCAAAGGAGGUGGACACAACUGGCAAAUGAAAAUGUCUACAGCUACCAGAGGAAGAAACACGAGGGGAUUGCUGCCACGCUGAGAUCAAUGGUGAG
rnacentral:lncRNA from 1 species